GCAGAUCUGGGCAGCUUGCGAAUACUUUAUCCGUCACCUCAGAACAGUCAUGAUCUGGUUUCCCUUCCUCAGAAGGACAUUCCAGUCAAAACCUUGGUAAAAUGAACAGUAUUCUCAAUGGUGUCUUUUACAAGGAGGACAGAUUCUCACUGAACUUACGCAGGAGGAAGAGGAAACAUGUUUUGUAAGAGAAUAAGUACAAUAAUUAUAAGUGACAAAACUCAAAAAUGGACAUGGUUAACAAUCUGAUGAGAGUUCGUUAUGAUGCAAUUGACAAGGAUAUUUGGUUACUUCUGUGAUACAUAACACUUUAAUAAUCAGAAUGUCACGUGACAACCUUAUUACAAAAACGUAUUAAAACUUUGGGAAUUCGAACUUCAAGCUGUAUUACAAGCUGUAAUCAUCAAGACAGUAUGGUACUGGCACAAAAACAGACACUCAGAUCAAUGGGACGGAAUAGAAAACUCAGAAAUGGACCCACAAAUGUAUGGCCAACUAAUUUUUGACAAAGCAGGAAAGAAUAUCCAAAGGAAUAAAGACAGUCUCUUCAGCAAGUGGUGCUGGGAAAACUGGACAGUGACAUGCAGAAAAAUGAACCUGGAUCACUUUCUUACACCAUACCCCAAAAUAAAAUCAAAAUGGAUGAAAGACCUAAAUGUAAGACAGGCAACCAUCAAAAUCUUUGAGGAGAAAGCAGGCAAAAACUUCUUUGGCCUUGGCCACAGCAACUUCUUACUCAACACGUCUCUGAGGCAAAGGAAACAAAAGCAAAAUGAACUAUUGGGACCUCAUCAAAAUAAAAGCUUCCGCACAGCAAAGGAAAUAAUCAGCAAAACUAAAAGGCAAUGAUGGAAUGCGAGAAGAUAUUUGCAAAUAACAUAUGAGAUAAAGGGUUAGUAUCCAAAAUCUAUAAAGAACUUAUCAAACUCAACACCCAAAAAACAAAAAUCCAGUGAAGAAAUGGGCAAAAGACAUGAAUAGACACUUCUUCAAACAAGACAUCCAGGUGGCCAACUGACACAUGGAAAAAUGCUCAACAUCACUCAUCAUCAGGGAAAUACAAAUCAAAACCACAAUGAAAUACCACCUCACACCUGUCAGAAUGGCUAACAUUAACAACUCACGCAACAACAGAUGUUGGCGAGGAUGCAGAGAAAGAGGAUCUCUUCUGCACUGCUGGUGGGAAUGCAAACUGGUGCAGCCACUCUGUAUGGAGGUUCCUCAAAAAAAUUAAAAAUAGAACUAUCCUACAA